UACGUAGGGUGCGAGCGUUAAUCGGAAUUACUGGGCGUAAAGCGUGCGCAGGCGGUUUUGUAAGCCAGAUGUGAAAUCCCCGGGCUUAACCUGGGAAUGGCAUUUGGGACUGCAAGGCUGGAGUGCGGCAGAGGAGACUGGAAUUCCUGGUGUAGCAGUGAAAUGCGUAGAUACCAGGAGGAACACCGAUGGCGAAGGCAGGUCUCUGGGCUGACACUGACGCUCAUGCACGAAAGCGUGGGGAGCAAACAGG
rnacentral:rRNA from 1 species